AUUCUAGUCACCCAGACAGGUUCACUUACUGGUCUCAGGUCCUGAGUAGACAGAGUCUGACUGGACGCUGUUACUGGGAGGUGGAGAGGAGAGAGAGAGGAAGUGUUUAUGUA